rnacentral:rRNA from 1 species
AGUGAACGCUGGCGGUAGGCCUAACACAUGCAAGUCGAACGGCAGCACAGAGGAGCUUGCUCCUUGGGUGGCGAGUGGCGGACGGGUGAGGAAUACAUCGGAAUCUACUCUGUCGUGGGGGAUAACGUAGGGAAACUUACGCUAAUACCGCAUACGACCUACGGGUGAAAGCAGGGGACCUUCGGGCCUGGCGCGAUUGAAUGCGCCGGGGUCGGGUUAGCUAGUUGGCGGGGUAAAGGCCCACCAAGGCGACGAUCCGUAGCUGGUCUGAGAGGAUGAUCAGCCACACUGGAACUGAGACACGGUCCAGACUCCUACGGGAGGCAGCAGUGGGGAAUAUUGGACAAUGGGCGCAAGCCUGAUCCAGCCAUACCGCGUGGGUGAAGAAGGCCUUCGGGUUGUAAAGCCCUUUUGUUGGGAAAGAAAUCCAGCUGGCUAAUACCCGGUUGGGAUGACGGUACCCAAAGAAUAAGCACCGGCUAACUUCGUGCCAGCCGCCGCCGUAA